GAAGAAGCUUGAGAAAGAUUGGAGCUUCAUAUUUAUGGUUUUUAUUUUUUAUCUGUUUCAAUAUGUUUUUUUCUUCUUCUGUCAUGUGGUAGGGCAAAAAUUGUAUGUGUUACGAUUGAUUUCCAUUACUUUUCACUUUUCAGUUUGAUCUGAGAGUAAAGAAAGUUCAAGCUUGAUUUUGAUAUUGUUUUCUCCUUUUAAAAUAUCUGUCUAUGUUUUCUUUUUUAAUCCACAGGUGGAAAGGCAAAGCCUUUGAAGCAGCCAAAGGCUGAUAAGAAAGAGUACGACGAGGACAGAGGUGGCUCGACAUUGACUCGCCCACUUCUCGUUACGCUGGUUCGUCGCUGCUGAUCCAGGGAGAAGGAGCGAGAGAAAAAGGCGGUGGUGGUGGAGCAAGGUCGCCGUGGACAAGCUUCAAUUUGCCGGAAACCCAGCAGGUGAAAUAAAACAAGAGCCCAUCCUCCAUGUAUGUAUAGGUUGGUAUGUGUAUAUCUAGAGUUGAAAGAGGACGAGGGAGAGACCCCGGAGAGAGAGAUGGAGUUGUUGUACAUUCCUUAACGGACAGAAAGAGAAGUAAGAAGUUGAUGAUGUUGUGGUUGGCUUGGCAUUUAGAGGCUGAAGGAGAGGGAGACGUGAGAGAUGGUGGCUAUGGAGGAUCGAAUGUUGUGUAUUAUGGUGAAUGCAAGUUAGGAAGGAGGUAUGUGCGUUUUCAAUUAUGAGUUUGUGCUUCCCAUGUGAGUGCAUAUUUUAGUGUGUUCGAGAUAAUGUGCGGGUAAUGUGCACCGUUGGUGGUUGGGUGUUCUGGUUCAUGCGUAUCGACUUUCCAAACAUUUAUAAA